rnacentral:rRNA from 1 species
UACGUAGGGUGCGAGCGUUGUUCGGAAUUACUGGGCGUAAAGGGCGCGUAGGCGGCCUUCUAAGUCGGACGUGAAAUCCCUCGGCUUAACCGAGGAACUGCGUCCGAGACUGAAAGGCUUGAAUCCGGGAGAGGGAUGUGGAAUUCCAGGUGUAGCGGUGAAAUGCGUAGAUAUCUGGAGGAACACCGGUGGCGAAGGCGGCAUCCUGGACCGGCAUUGACGCUGAGGCGCGAAAGCUAGGGGAGCAAACGGGG